ACGGGAGGCAGCAGUGGGGAAUAUUGGGCAAUGGGCGAAAGCCUGACCCAGCAACGCCGCGUGAAGGAAGAAGGUCUUCGGAUUGUAAACUUCUUUUAUGUAGGACGAAGAAAGUGACGGUACUACAUGAAUAAGCCACGGCUAACUACGUGCCAGCAGCCGCGGUAAUACGUAGGUGGCAAGCGUUAUCCGGAUUUACUGGGUGUAAAGGGCGCGUAGGCGGGGAUGCAAGUCAGAUGUGAAAUCCAUGGGCUCAACCCAUGAACUGCAUUUGAAACUGUAUCUCUUGAGUGCUGGAGAGGUAGAUGGAAUUCCUAGUGUAGCGGUGAAAUGCGUAGAUAUUAGGAGGAACACCAGUGGCGAAGGCGGCUUUCUGGACUGUAACUGACACUGAGGCACGAAAGCGUGGGGAGCAAACAGGAUUAGAUACCCUGGUA
rnacentral:rRNA from 1 species